GAAGUACUCCCUCCAUCCGAAAAUACUUGUCGGAAAAAUGGAUAAAAAUAGAUGUAUCUAGAACUAAAAUACAUCUAGAUAUAUUCAUUUCUCCGACAAGUAUUUCCGGACGGAGGGAGUAUCUA
rnacentral:pre_miRNA from 1 species